rnacentral:rRNA from 1 species
AACACAUGCAAGCCGAACGGACUUAGUCGGUGGUAACACCGGCAAAAGUUAGUGGCGAACGGGUGCGUAACACGUGAGCAACCUACCCUAGAGACUGGGAUAACACCGGGAAACCGGUGCUAAUACCAGAUACCCCCAUACCAUCGCAUGGUGGAAUGAGGAAAUGUUUUUUCGCUCUUGGAGGGGCUCGCGGCCUAUCAGCUUGUUGGUGAGGUAACGGCUCACCAAGGCUACGACGGGUAGCUGGUCUGAGAGGACGACCAGCCACACUGGGACUGAGACACGGCCCAGACUCCUACGGGAGGCAGCAGUGGGGAAUAUUGCGCAAUGGGCGAAAGCCUGACGCAGCAACGCCGCGUGGAGGACGAAGGCUCUCGGGUUGUAAACUCCUUUCAGCAGGGAAGAAAUUGACGGUACCCGCAGAAGAAGCACCGGCCAACUACGUGCCAGCAGCCGCGGUAAUACGUAGGGUGCAAGCGUUGUCCGGAUUCAUUGGGCGUAAAGAGCUCGUAGGCGGCUUGGCAAGUCAGAUGUGAAACCCUCAGGCUCAACCUGGGGAUGCCAUCUGAUACUGCUAUGGCUAGAGUAUGGUAGGGGACUACGGAAUUCCUGGUGUAGCGGUGAAAUGCGCAGAUAUCAGGAGGAACACCAGUGGCGAAGGCGGUAGUCUGGGCCAUUACUGACGCUGAGGAGCGAAAGCGUGGGGAGCGAACAGGAUUAGAUACCCUGGUAGUCCACGCCGUAAACGUUGGGCACUAGGUGUGGGGUCUAUUUCGACGGACUCCGUGCCGUAGCUAACGCAUUAAGUGCCCCGCCUGGGGAGUACGGCCGCAAGGCUAA